rnacentral:rRNA from 1 species
UACAACAUAGCAUUAAUGCACCAAAUCUCAUUAGAACUCUGCAAUUAAGCACACUCAGGCUAGAGUAGUACUAGGAUGGGUGACCGCUCGAGAAUUCCUAGUGUUUUAC